GCCCUUUCCGCGUUCGUGAAGAAGGGGAAGCUGGGCAGUGUCUUGUUUUAAAUUGGGACUUAGGCUAUUUUUAGCUCAUUUAUUGCACUCUUGGGCGAUUCUGGAGCUUCAAAAAGGGGGAUUUCAACCUAGCUUUUGAAGGUAAGUAAUUCCUACCCAAUGUGAGUUUAAUACAUAGAUUAUGGGUAAAUUUUAACUUGUAAAAUUGUAAAAAUUAUGUGUUUAGAUAAAAAACCUAGGUUUUGAUAAAAAUGGGAUUUAACCAUGAAAACGGUUAUGGAAUUGAGUGAAAAAUAUAUAUUUGAGUUCGUGAGGCUAUGGGUAACAUUUAUCUUCAAAAAAUUUCGGAAUCCGGGUACGUGGGCUUGGGGUGAAGUUUAGGAAUCUUUCAAUUGGGGUUGGGUAAUCACUCUAAUAGUUAGAAUAUAAACUUUUGAGCAUGUAUUGAUUAAUCUAUAUAACAUUUGACUAGUUUUGGAUUAUUUGGCACCAAGCUGAGGCUUUAGAGCGAAAUUGUGACCGGAAAGUGAGCCUUGAGACGAGGUAAGUCUCUUGUCUAACCUUGUAAGAGGGAAUUUACCCCAUAGGCGAUUUAAAUUUAUGUUUGCUUCUAGUUGUAGGGGCUACGUACGUACGAGGUGACGAGAAUCUGUGCGUAGCUACUAACUAUGCUUAUGUCCGAGUGGUCUUAGGACCCAAAUCAUGAAUUAUUUAAGAUGUUUCCAUCCUACUUGUUAAUUAAAGUGCCUAAAUUAUAUUGGAACUUGUUAGAGGAAUUGUGAAAGACCGUUAAUGGAAUUUAUAUUACAUUGUGUAUUAGCCUUUAAUAAUGUUUAAGUCAAAUGUUUAUAAAGCAUCCUCUCUUCUUGUGGAGUGGGCCGAACGCCUCGGUAGUAGAUAGAUGCAUCUAUAGUUCGUGUCGCUCAACUCUCGGCAGUGUACACAUUAUUCUAAAUCGGGUCCUACGAUCUCGGCAUAAUCGUGCGUGAUAACACUCGAUGUGUAAUCAUAUAUUUGAUAUCCUUCCCUGACUUGAGAGCCAAAAAUAUUAUAAGAUGGAAAUUUAUUUGGAACUUACCAUGUGUGAAAGGUUUAUUUACUUUUGCUUAUUAUUAAGUUAUUGUUAUUAUAUAUAUAACCCGUGCUCAUUUAGAAUUUCGUAUUUCUUUACUAUUAGCCCAUAGUAUGUGUCGAUGUCGACCCCUCAUCACUACUUCUUCGAGGUUAGACUUGAUACUUACUGGGUACAUAUUAUUUAUGUACUCACACUAUACUUUUGCGCUAAUCAUGCAGGAUCUGAGGCAGCUGCAUCUGUCGGUCCUACCGGCGCGCGUCCCAAAUAUCCCGAGGCCUAGUGGUGAGCUGCUUCCCGAGCCGUUCUGCAGCCCCUAGAGUCUCUAUUUUGUAUUUAUAUUCUGUCUACUUUAUUUCGGACAGUAGAUAGUAUUUUGUAUAUUCUACUAGUUGCUCAUAUACUUGUGACACCAGGUCUUGGCACACACACUAGUAGACCCUAUGGUUUUGGAAUAUUUACUUAUUUAUGCUUGCAUUCAAAUGCUUUCAUUUUAUUCAUUUGACUCUCUAUUUCUCAAAUUUCUAAAUAAAUGGAACUUAACUACUUGUAAGCCUGUCAAAAUAAGUAAUCACGUAGUAAAUUCAUCAUAGGCUUGCCUAGCGGCGACAUUAGGCGCCAUCGCGGCCUAUAGGUGAAUUUAGGUCGUGACAAUAAUAUUCCUACUAAGGCAAGACCUUGCCAAAUGAAUUCAGAAUAUUUGAAACUAUGCAAAAAAAUAAAUUGAUUCUUUACUGCAUAAAGGUCUUAUAAGACCUUCAAAGUCUAAGUGGUCUUGUACUGUUUUUUAUGUUAAUAAAUAUGCUGAACAGGAACGAGGAGUUCCUAGGUUGGUUAUUAAUUAUAAGCCCCUUAAUAAGGCUUUAAAAUAGAUUAGAUAUCCAAUCCCUAAUAAAAAAGAAUUUAUUGGAUAGAUUGCAUGAUGCCAUAAUAUUUUUAAAUUUUGAUUUAAAAUCUAGUUAUUGAAAAAUUCAGAUAUCUGAGUUAGAUAGAUAUAAAAAUCCCAAUGGGUCAAUACGAAUGGAAUGUUAUGCCUUUCGGUUUAAAACAAUGCCCCUUCUGAAUUUCAGAAAAUAAUGAAUGAUAUCUUCAUACCUUAUACAAAUUUUAUAAUUGUUUAUAUUCAUGAUAUUUUAGUAUUUUCAAAAAAUAUUAAAAGUCAUUUUAAACAUCUAGACCUUUUUAGGAAAAUUAUUAUUCAAAAUGGCUUAGUCAUAUCUAAACCAAAUAUGGCCAUUUUUCAGACCAAUAUAAGAUUCUUAGGUCAUAAUAUUCAAAAUGGAAGAAUAGUUCUGAUUCAAAGGAGCAUUGAGUUUGCAUCUAAAUUUCCUGAUGUCAUAACUGAUAAGACUCAACUCCAAAGGUUUCUGGGAAGCCUUAAUUACAUUUCUCCUUUUAUAAAGGAUCUUGCUAAGGGUACUUCAAUUCUUUAUGAAAGAUUAAAGAAGAAUCCAAAAGCAUAAACUGAUGAUCAUAGUAAGUCAGUCACACGAAUUAAGCAGAAGGUUAAUAAUAUUCCAUGGCUUACACUUGCUAACCAAUUUUGGGCAAAAGUAGUUGAAAUUGAUGCCUCAAAUAUUGAAUUUGGUGGAAUAUUAAAACAAUGUUCUCCAGUUGAUAAACAAGAAUAUUUGUUCAAUUUUAUUCGAAAAAAUAGAAUAAUUCCCAAAAGAAUUAUGUUAUUGUGGCUAAGAAAAUCCUUGCCAUAGUGAAAUGUGUAUUAAAGUUCCAGACUAAUUUAUACAAUCAGAAAUUUUUAAUAAAAACUGAUUGCCAAGCAGCGAAAUUUAUCUUUAAUAAAGAUUGUAAACAUGAUGUUUCUAAACAGAUAUUUGCAAGAUGGAAAGCCUUGUUAGCCCCAUUUGAUUUUGAGGUUAUUUACAAAAAAGGGACAAAUAAUAGUCUCCCUUAUUUUCUUACUAGAGAAUUUUUGAAUUAAUAAUUCUUUUAAUUUUAUGACACGAUAUGAGACCUACAUAUAGGCCUCCUCGAGGGAGGAGACGAGGAAGAAAACUAGAAUCUUCCUAUGGCAGAGGAAAUAUCCUAGCCCAGAUAGGAAAUCGGCAGCUAAUAGCUGCCAAUAUCACAGGGACAUCAUGUCUUAAUAUAAAUCACCCAAUAUACAAAGAAUUUCUGAAUUUUAUGAAAUCCAAACAAGACAUAGACAACAAUCCUCCAUCAUAUUCCUCAGCAUUGCAGAUGAUAGCGAUGAUAACAUUGAGGUUUAUAACCAGAAAGAAAAAAAAGAGUUAAUAAUUCUUUUGGAAAAAUCCGAUCUAAAAUGGAAGGAUAACCUUUAGCAAAUCAUGAUCAGGUAUUUUGAUUCUAUUUCAUAUACUACCACUUCAUACAAAUACAAAAUGAAUUGCGAGUUAAUUCUUUCAUUACUGGUUCAGCUGAAAUUCAGUAUUUUUAUCCAGCAAAUACAAGAGAAUUUAUAAUUUCUCUAAAAUUAUUAUAAAGAAGGUACUAGCCUCAGAUGAAUAGGGAAUGAGUAAAUUAAAGGAAAGAGAAUAUACUCAUCCAAAAUAAAAAGUCUCGGUAAAUUUUAAUUACUGGGAUUAUAGUGAAAGUUUUAAUAAAACUUUAUUAUAUGAGAAUCCUAAUAAGAAACAAUAUUGGUUCAUAAAAUUUUGUUCGUAUUUGUUUGAACAACAGAAACCAAAUUAGUUUUGUAAAUGGUGGAUAUCAUAUGGUCCAUCUUUGGAAAUACUUCCGCCAAUUUUUAAGAGUUUAUAUACUCAAUGGGUGGAUAUAUCUACCAUGAUCAUUGCUUUUCAAAAAGAUAAUAUCUUUCGAUGGCAUAGCAACUAUGUACUUUUUUAUAGAAUUCUCUAUUCCAUGGAUUAUGAAAUGGGAUGUGGAAGUUAACCAAACCAGGGAAGGAUUCCCAUGUUUAAACAGAGGUUUUUAUAAAAAAUUCUGGAAUAAAUUAUUUCAAGCAGACCAACAAGGAAAGAUUUAUGGUCAAGAAAUUAUUGAGGAUAUCCAAAAGAAAAUUGAAGCUUAUAGCAAACAGGAACUGACAAAUGUUAAAGUGGAAGAAUUAAGUUCAUUUCAGCAGCUUACUAGAAAGCUCCAAAUGAUAAAAGGAGUUGUUUCUAAGAAGGAAAUUAUUGCUUCUUAUUUUGAAGAAAUAGAGAAAGAUAUAAUAAGGAAUUUUGAAGUUGAGAUGUCAGAUGACGUGUCAACGGUAUCAAUAGGUAAUACCACAGAUGAAGAAACUUGUAGGGCAGGAAAGACCCAAGGAAGCCAACAUGAACAAGUUAAUUUAGAAGAAAUUGAAGAAUUUCUAGCCAAAAUGAAGGAAGGAGUAGAAGAAUCUUCUACACCACAAAACAAUAAGGGAAAAGGAAAAGUUGUUUAAAGACACAAGACCCCAUCGAUCCCAUCUCUCAGAAUUAUUGGGGUAAUAGAGACAAAAAAAACUUUAAUAAAGCAGUGGGACCUUCUGAUAAAGAGGAAUCAACUUUAUAAAGUUGUUUGUUUUAUUACUUUUUCUCUUUUUUUCUUUGUCGGCCAUAGUAUGUAAUUAUUUUAUCGUCCAUUUUACUGUUUGUUUUUGUCCGUUUUAUCAAGAGAUCUAUUAUAUAAGGAUCAAAAAUUCAUAGUUAGGAGCAGGCUUUUCUUUAGCCAGGUUUUAAGAACUCUCUCUCUGUGUGUAAAAACAGUCACUUGGCCACAACCGCGACAAUCUCAUAUACUUUUUAAUUUUAGUCUUUUUAUAAUUAAGAUAUUCAUUUAGCCUAAAUGAUAGGCUAAAUAGUGUUGUGUUGAAUUUAUGCAUACUAGCCUAUUCUUAAAACAUAUUUUGUUGCUCGUUUUAUACUGUAUCACCCAAUGGUUCUGAGGUUGAGACUGUAGAGUCUAGGCAGUUUAACAGUUCGGGCAGUAAACCUUAUUUAUGGUAACAUAACCGGUGGUCCUUAAGACUCGUAUUAGCCAGGUGGGCGUUGAGAGAGUCAUGAGGAAGACAUGUGUGUGUGUGUGUGUGUGUGUCUAUAUAUAUAUAUAUAUAUAUAUAUAUAUAUAUGUGUGUGUGUGUGUGUGUGUGUGUGUGUGUGUCUAAAAUCUAUUUAAAUUAUGUCUUAAAAAUACCAAGUGGCAUUUUCUCAAUGCACCACUAGCCUUAACCUCACGUUUCACUGCCUACUUUUGAUAUAAUAUUGAUAGAUACAGAUAUCUAGCUCGACUAUCUCAUUUUAAUACAAUAUAUAUUUUUAUUGUAUUUUUUCUUUAGCCUACGGCCCUGCGAUACCUUCAACCAUUAAAUAGAGGGUCAAUUGGGUCAAUCUUACAUAUAAAAAUAUGUAUUACAUUAUGUUAGGUGGUUAACUUCCAAAUAUUAGCUGGAAUAUGUUAAAUUAUGAAAUGAAUCAAUGAAAAUUAUGUUUAUUAUAUUAUUUCUUUUGUCAACUGCUUCCUUUGCUUUAACUUUUUAUUUUUGCUAGAUUGUCAAUUUGUCAUUGACAAUUUCUUUCAUAUUAGUUCUAAUUAAAAUUUACCAAUAUAAUAAUGAUAUAAAAAUUUAAAAUAUACUCAUGUAUGACAUGAUAGUUAUUAGAAAUAAAAUAAGCCUUCUCAAUAGUAAAUGCAUAAUAUUAGAGUACAAUCAUAUAGUUCAUUAUAUAUUUCAGGGCGUAUUAUAGCUAGAGAUUUUUUAUUUACAGUCGCGCUUUUUGUUAUUUUUUUAUUUUAUAAUAAAACCCAACGGGUAUGUUCAUAUUCACAUACAACAAAGGAAUAGAAAGAAAACUUGAUGACUAUUCAAGGUUUGAAUAAAGAAUUUAGUAACGAAAAAAAUUCUCGGUUAAGAAAUGCAGAUUCUUACAUAGUAUAAUUGUAUGUACGUGUAUACAACAAAAAGUAUAACUGUAUGUGCAUCAAUGGCGAAGCCACAUUCGUCGAAAAAUUGCACUGUAUACAUAGAUAAAAUAUUACGUUUUAGAGGUAUAUAACACAUAUUGAACACCCUUUGUCGGAAAAAAAUUUCACUUCUUUUAAAUUUGAACACCCUUAGAAAAAUUCUUAAUUUCGCCACUGAUGUGCAUCUUUUGAGAUUCUCCAUGUAUUUAAAAAACUAAAAUUGAAUGGAUGUGAGAGAUUUCAUGCAAAAUUUGAAUUAAGAUAAACUUUGGGAGGGAAGGGCAAGACUUUGACUACGCAUAAAUAAAUAGAAACCCGUGUGAAUUUACUGUGUGCUACCCUCAUUUGGUCUAUUGUGGCCAAAAUCAGUGUGGUAGAAAUACCUUUUCGUUAAAGAAAUUGUUGGUUUAAUGGCUGCUUAUUUAUUUAACAAGAUUCACUUUUUGAAAUAUUAAAUUUAGUCUCGUGAUCGAUGAGGAUCAAAUCUUGAGAAAGACAAAAUAUUAAUUGAAACUUAGUGCCACUGUUUGCAUCUUUAAAUGUUACCCAUUUUCAUGUGAAAUAUUAAAUAAUUAAUAAGAUAUUUGAUCUUUCCAAAAAAAUUCAUUAUUAUUUUUUGUUUUUCCUUAUGACAGUAGAGAUACUGUUCGAAAAACUUUCGACUCAAGAGAAAUAGAAAUGAAGCAAUAAACCGACAAUAGCAAAUAAAAAUUUUGACGGACUCAUUAAGUUAAAUGUUUAGAUUAUGAUUCUUCCAUUAAAUAAGCAAAAAAGUUCCUUCACUAUACUGUAGUACGAAAAAAUUACUACAACACAUGAUUCUCUUUCACAUGUUUAUUUAAAGACAGGAAGCACAACUCAUCGUACACAUUAAUUAAAUAUUUAGCCCCACCAUUCUUGUGCAUUUAAUUCUUAGACUAUAUUUUAAAACAUUACUACUUCUGACAAAUUUAAUUCAGUGGGUUCUUCGAGGCAAAAUUAUAAUAUACACCAAUCGGUAUGCGUAGUACGUUCAAUAUUAAGUCUAGCAAAUCACUUUGAAGGAAAUGAAAGUCAAUAGAACGUUGACAUAUAUUUGCACUAAAUAAAGCAAAUAGAUUUAGGAAAUAAAUAUAGUAAUUUAGUUUGUGGGCUAAGGUAACGUACUUAGGAGAGAAGUUUGGUGGCUAAAUUAUAAAAACAAAACGAGAAAAGGAAGAUCACUACUUUUGCAUUAUGUGUUGAGUUCAUAAAUCAUAACUUUAGGAAGAAAAAGAUAUUGUACAUCGUGGAAAGCAUGAUUAAUGGAGAUAUACCUAAAACCUUUUUGUUUUUAUCUGCUAAAUUUUAAAGAAUUGUAAUAACACAGGAAAAGAUUAGGAGUAGCAGAGCUAAUUGCAUGUGAUUAAAAUCAUUACUUACUGAUUGUUUCUACGGCAAAGGUCCAAAUAUACCCCUCUAUUUUCGAAAAUGGUAUAAAAAUACCCAUCGUUAUACUAAUGGGUUAUCUAUACCCCUGCAGUUAUACUUUGGGUUCAAAUAUACCCUCAUUUAAACGGAAGGACAUGUGUCAUCGUCUUGUCGGUCAAUUCUAAAUACCUCCUAAUUAAUUAAAAAGACUCAUUACCCAUACCCGAAAAGCAAUUUUCUAANNNNNNNNNNNNNNNNNNNNNNNNNNNNNNNNNNNNNNNNNNNNNNNNNNNNNNNNNNNNNNNNNNNNNNNNNNNNNNNNNNNNNNNNNNNNNNNNNNNNNNNNNNNNNNNNNNNNNNNNNNNNNNNNNNNNNNNNNNNNNNNNNNUAUUUCUAUUUUAGUAAAAAAACAUUCAGUUUUCCAGUUUUUACAAAAACAUUGCUUUAGAAAAUUGCUUUUCAGUUUUUACAAAAAUAUUGUUUUAAAAAAUAUUUUUCAGUUUUUUUAAAGCAGUUUUUUUGUAAAAUUUGAAAAAAAAAAUAUUUUCGUUUUUUUCAGUGUUUAGUAAAAAAAAUUCAGUUUUUUCCAGUUUUUACAAACAAAAAAAAAAUUGCUUUAGAAAAUUACUUUUCGGGUAUGGGUAAUGAGUCUUUUUAAAAUUAGGAGAUAUUUAGAAUUGGCCAACAGGACGAUACAUGUGUCCCUCCGUUUAAAUGAGGGGUAUAUUUGAACCCAAAGUAUGACUAUAGGGGUAUAAAUAAUCCAAUAAUAUAACGAGAAAUAUUUUUAGACAAUUUUCGAAAUUAUAGGGUAUAUUUGGACCUUUGCUCUUUUUGCUAACACAAGUUGAUGGUGGGGAAAAUUAAAAAUUCAAUUAUCGUACAAAGACUAAUGUGAGCUUGAACUAUGAAUUGGAGUUAUCUUAGUUUUUUAUUUUACUUUUAACGGCAUGCUUUUGUAGCAGUGCAAAAUCUCAAGUUCCAAAAGAUUUUCUUUUCUUCGUUCUAUUUGUCGACAAAACAUGAAUCGAAAGGAAAAAGUAAAACUAUCAGCUUUGUUUUCAAAACAACACACCACUUUAAGAAUGCUAAGGAAUUGAAGAGUAUACCUAUCAUAAUAGUAACCUUUCCUUGGUUUCAUCACUUGUCGUUCCUAGUUAUUUGGGAAAAUUAUAUUGUAUAAUAGUUCUAAAAAAUAAUAGCUGAAAAAAUAUAUAAUUUUUAUAUAUUAGUGUGUAAUAUGCAUAUCUUAUACAAAAUCAGUGUAUAUGUUUUGUAUAUAUGACUUGUAGACAUACUUAUUUUAGGCCGAUCGGCCAAAUAUAUAAGUUGCCCCUAUAACUUUCAAGUAAAAUUUUCAUGUGGCACCCAGCUUUGCGUCAUCUAUUGAAUUUGUUCCGAAAAGUUUAACUAUUACCAAUUUCUGGAUAAAUUCAGAUACAUACACGUUUCUUUUCUUCUUUACAACAGUUUUCUUCUUCUUUGUGCUUAGAGUUUCUUUUUCUUUUUUCUUAAAAUGGGUUUGUACGUAAAUGUCCGGACAAUAAAUAAAGUAAAGAUAAACAUGAAAGCAAAUGGAUUCCAAAGUCGACGUGACCUUUAAAUUAACAAAAUUGGGGAGAUUUUCUCUAUAUUUCCUUACUAUUAAAAGGUGUGGAAGUGAUCUUGAUCUGGAAAAAUUAAGUCGUCCUCUCAUAUGAAUUCCAUAUUAAUCAUGUUAAUUAAUUGAUAUGUUUAAAGAAAAAAUAAAAAAUUGAAAGUAUACUUCAAACCGAAAAUAAUAAAUAACAAAUCCACAAUGGUAGAAUUAAGAGACAAUUUUCUUGGAACAUGAGUUAGUGGAGAAAUUGAACGACUAUGUUUUCCAUAAUUACUUGUUUUGUCCCAUAUAAUCUUCGUCAAAAUGGAAAUUAUUAUAUAACGUAUAUAAUUUAGAACUUAAUGAUGAUUAUUAAAUUUCAAAAUUAAUCAUCAGCUUAAGACAAUGGCAUUUUUGAAAUUUGUACAAGAAACAGUGGCAUUUCCAUCUCAACAUGUUACGAGGCAUCUGUAUUCGCUUUAUCUCUUUUGCUUUAUUAGCCUACUCACUUUUUUGUUUUUUUCCCAAAAUGUUUUCUUUCUUUAUAUAGUUAGCUAUGGUAAUGUUCCCAUUAACUUUCAAAGUGAUUUUCAUUCGAUUAAAGAGAAAAUUUAAAAUAUUAAUUUUGAAUAUUAUAUGGGUAAUGGGUUAUGGUAAGGGUUGGGUUUGAUAAAUUAAUCGAGUGUAUUAGUGUGUUUCCACGUUUCUCUUUUAUUAUUGAGAUUUGACCGUAUGUCAAACUGAAUGCAAAAAUAAUUAAGGACUCGCUUGGCUAUAAAAAAGAUUUUUUUUAUUUUUUAUUUUUUCCGAAGUAAGUGUUUGGUCGUGAAAUUUUAAUUUUCACUUGAAAAUAAAUUUUAAAAUUUUUUUAAAAUUUAAAAAAGUCCAAAAAGGUAUUUUUCAAAAUUUCUUACAAAAAUUAAAAAACAAUCCAAAAUUAUAUUCAUGUCCAAACACAACUCUAAUUUUCACUUGAAAAAAUAUUUUACUUUUUUCUAAAAUUUUACAGUACUUAUGUCCCAACGCCCACUAAAUGUGCAACUAGAGUAUUUACAAUGGAAUAAAUAUGACUAUUUUUCAAAAAUAAUAGUAGUAGUUAAGAGAUUAGUUUUAUAUACAAAAUGUAGAACUAAAGAGAUAUAAUUAACUUUUUCAUUGUGCUAUCAUCUUUCUAUGUUAAGUAUUUAGGAUGAUUAAUAUAUGUAAACCGUGGUAAAAAGAGUAUGAUUUCAAUUCUAUUCCAUACUUAUUGGUCUAAAUACUCAUCUAACUAUAUCUAUUUAAAUAAAAAAACAAAAUAAAGAGUUUUGGCACUUUAUUAAGAAGAGAAAUUGGCGUCCGAGAAAUAUUACUAUAUUCAUGAUAUCGAAAAUUAAAUAAACAUUAAGGGAAAAUGAGAACACAUUAAAAGAAAUUGCAAUUACUACAAAACAUAUCACAUGCAUUACGAAUCCAACCAAAUAAAAAAAAAAGAAAAAAUUUGUUGCUAAUACCAAAUGAAAACUUUUAAAAAUUGGAAGUUUAGUUCAUACUAUAAAAAAGGAGUAUAAAGGAGUUUGCAAGACCACCACCUGUGUACUAAAGGAAUGUAGGAAGAACAUCUUUCUUUUAUGUCAACAACACAGGAAUAUGAUUCCUCUAUUCUGGAUAUAGAAAGUUUUUACAAUUAAAAUAAAUCACCAAAAUAGUUAUAUUUAAAAGAGAAAAAGAUUCUCGUAUGAGGUUUACACUAAAAUUUAAAUUAAUAAAUACAUAAAUGGUAUCAUUUACAAAUAUUUGUAUCACUAAAUUAACUGUAGUUAAUUAAUAUGUAUAUUGAUAUACAUUCAUCACGUGAAUUCAGUAAAUUAACGUGAUUUGAUGUAAAUAUGGCUGGCAAAUUUUCUUCUUUUGGCUUGUUCUUCACCCACUAUGAAUUUUCCAAUGGGAAAUUAUUUUAGAAAAAAAGAGGAAAAUUUUGGCAUAAAGUCUUAAAGUCGUUAACAACUUUUUCCCUUGUUUCUUUGUCCCUUCGUUUAUAGAAAAACAAUUGUUAUACUUAACCAAAAAGUUUAUAUAGUAACAUCAUUUUUGAAAACUUAAUAAAAGCAGAUUGGAGAGCCUUUAGUAUUUAGUAUUUACACAACUAACCCUUCCCUCCUCUCCACCAAAUGAUAAAAAUACCACUUAUAACUUGUUUGGAUGGCUGUUAAUUAUUGUAUCGUAUCGUAUUGUUAUUUUAAAUAUAUGUUUGUUUUAACUUUUAUUUAAAUUUUAUUGUAUCGUAUUUUUAAAUUCGUCGUUACGUAACAAAGAAAAGUGUCACUUUAUGUAACGACCGAUUUGAUGUGGUCGCGUUUACCUUAUUUUUCAUCUUGCCUUUUCAUAUUAUUAAAUAAUCCUAUUUAUUCUUUAUCAUACAUUUUUAUAUAAUAAUUUCGCCUCGUAUCUCGCUUUCAUUGUAAUAUUGCAAGUUUUUUUUUCAUAUUGUUGGUGCAUGACAUCAUAAAACAACAACAAACAUUACAAUCUAUCCAAACAUUGUAUAUAUCAAAUGAUACAGUAUAAUACAAUACGAUACGAUACGAUAUGAUACUUAUGAAUCGAUAUAUAACAACCAUCCAAACAAGUAAUAAGAGGUGUUUGGGCCAAAACAUUUCUUCUAACAAACUAAUAUAUGAACAAAUGCGAAGCGACUUACGAGUUCAAAUUAAGUUAAUAAAUUCUAAAUUAAUAUUUUUAUGUAUUCAUUGAAUUUUUUUUACGACAAAUAAAGGUUCGAUCAAAACAGGUGAGUUCCACCCAAAUAACCUAAAGUCUAGCUCCUCAAACUACAAUGAUCUAUAGUUCUAUACACAUAUUUAUUUUAUAAAACAUUUCAAAAAACCCUAAAAUAAAAUUGAAGGAAAGUUAGAACAGAGGUCAUAUCACACAGCAAAUCAUACAGAUAUUAUGACCCACGAAUAAAGAAGUAAAAACACAAAGUGUCAAAAAUCAUAUGAAUAGUAAGAUAAGGGAGUGGCACUUCCGUAAAUAAACAGAACAUGAAGGGUAGAAAGUUAAAAAGCGUCGUAUUCGCAAACCUCACCAUAUUCUUUGCUUUUUGUUCUUCUUUUAUGGGCUUUGCUUUUCUUCUCUUUAAAUCUGUUUUGACCGUUGCUUUCUCUCUCUCAACGUCUCUCUAUCUCUUUCUCUCUCACACAGUCACACACUUCCCACUGAUCAAACUCCAGUUGGGUUCAUCUGUAUCUUAAUUUUACUUCACAUUAUUCUCAUCUUCAAUUUUACCAGGUACGGCCUUAAUAUCACUACAAUUUCCGUUUUUGUCUUCUAUUAUAUUCAGUUUAUUUGUUUGGUAGAAGGAUAUUUCAGGAAAUGAAGAAAACCUGAAAGCAAGUCCAGUUUUUUCGUGUGAGCUUCGUUUUUUUUCCUUCUUUUUUGCGGAUUUUAGUAGCUUUUUUCUGUUCAUGUUUGAUUUUAGGAAAUGCGAACAUUUCUGGGGUAUUGUUUGUUGCUGACUGUUGCAGCUAAUUAACCUGGAAAUAUUAAAAUGGAUCCUUUUUUUGUGUGUGUAAUUUAUUAGCUGAAUAUACUGAAACCAAUUGCUAUUUUUGCUUAUGACCUUUUAUGUUUUAUCUCAAUUUUGAUGCCUAAAGGGUGCAUUGCAAACAUAAUAUUUAGCUCUUACAAUUUAUUGGUAAAGUGUGGUUAGUAUUACAAGCUUCUCUAGAGGAUUUUCAUUAUUUAAUCUUGAGUUUUCUUUUGUUGCUUAAUCAGCUUUACCGGCUUAUUGAGUAGUAAGCACAAAUUAUUUGCUAAAUUUGCUCUUAUUUUUCGUGAAUGAUCUACUGAUAAUUAUAAUUGCCUUUUCAAACAGAAAAGUAAGGUAAAAUUGCUACAUUGAGUUACAAUCUGUUUUCUCUUAAGCUCUAAUCAUAGUAACAGUUAAUACUUAUUUGGAAAAAAAUUCUUAGGUUCAACACUACUUGAAAUGAUUUUUGAUCACUUGGGGAGAAAGCAUUUCAAUUCCUGUAAACCAGAUAUUGACAAGUGUGUUCAAGUUUUCUCUUUUCGAAUGGCUUAUAAACAAGGCAAAGAACCUAAAUCUAACAUUAUUUCCAAUAAUAUAUGCAUAGAAUAGUUUGCUGUUUUGUUUCUUUUCUUGUUGGUUAUAUAUCUUAUGAUUCUCUCUGAGAAUGAAGCUUUCUGAAAAUCACUUUCUCAUUUUGAACAGUUUGCUGGUUUCCAUAUGAACCUGGUGACCAUAUUAAGACGACUUGAUCUACUUUCGUCUUUUGAUUCAAGCCUGAAGAAUUCUUAGAGUAAUAGAGAGAGAUAAAUCUAAAUUUGAGAGAAAUGGGAUGUUCUUCAUCCAAGUUGGAUGAUGAAGAGGCCGUUCAACUUUGUAAAGAUCGAAAGAAGUUCAUUAAACAAGCAGUGGAACAGAGAUUGCGAUUUGCUUCUGGACAUAUGGCUUAUGUUCUUGCCAUGGAAAGAAUUUCUGCAGCCCUUAAAGAUUAUGUUGACGUCGAUGAGCCUCGCGAGUUUUUAUUGGAUUCGUUUAAAACUCCACCACCCUUUACUCCUAUUAAGAAAGUAAGUCCAGGUUUCAUCUCCAUAGAACCAAAAUCCUUUUCCAUAACACCGUUGAAGUCUGAACCCAAAACCAAAUCCUCUAUAAAAAUAAAUUAUCUUAGGUCAGGUGGGAACCCUGCUGUUUCUGUUGAAGAAAGACCUCAGUCACCCGAAACAGUCAGAAUUCAGGCUUACUCCCCAGUUCAUCAAUAUGGGAUGGAUAGUUUCUUUUCUAUGCAAUCCUCACCAAUGAACUCUUCGUUUUUUCAGCAUUCCCCCAACAAUAGACCUAACUUUCCUCCCCCUUCGCCACAAACAUCACAAUGGGAUUUUUUCUGGAACCCAUUUUCUUCAUUAGAUUAUUAUGGUUAUCCUAUGAGAAACAGUAUUGAGCAGACAAUUCUCGACAAUGACAAUGAUGGGCUAAGGCUAGUUAGAGAGCAAGAAGGAAUUCCUGAAUUAGAAGAGGAAACGGAGGUAGAAGAGACCGAUCAUGGAGAGGAUGUGAAAGAGGAGAGGACCAAAAUCCGUCACAAUUUUGAUAAAGAUGAAGUUGUGGUGGAAGAUGUCGACGACGAUGAUGAUGAUGAUAGCGAUGAGGAAGAAAUGGAUGAUGAACACGAAAAUGUUCCCCAUAUUCAUGAUUUACUAUCUAAACCCAACCAAACCACAACAGUCGCAAAGGCACAGAAUGUAGGCCAACUCAGCAAUAAAGAGACAGCAGUUGCCGAUCCUGAAGCAAAAGAGGAAACACCUGGAUUUACUGUUUAUGUUAAUAGAAGGCCUACAAGCAUGUCAGAAGUUAUUAAGGAACUUGAAAGUCAGUUUAUGAUUGCUUGUAGUUCUGCUAAAGAGGUGUCAGCUGUGUUAGAGGCUAUCAGAGCUCAGUACUCAUUGCAAUCGAAUGACCUGUCACGUAAGGUUUUUCAUAAAAUGUUUACAGCAUUUAUCCGAUUUUCUUAUUCGUCGUGACUGUGCACCGUAAGUCAAAUAGGACAAUGAGGAGGAUGUAUGAAGAAAGAUUAUUUAUUGAUGGCGUGGUGCCACAUAUGACAAAAUAUAUCAAUGCAGUGAAACAACAGUCAUAUUAUUGUAGCAUGUUUAAUUUUCAAAGAGUUAUGUCCCUGCAUGUUCCAAGUAGCAUGAAAAGGCUAGUUUUAUGGCUUCUAGAUCUGGAUUUUCUUUGAGGUCUCUUGCCAAAACUAACUGAUAUAUUUCAGGAGAAAUGUGCAAAAUUCAACAGAACAGUAUUACCAUUGCAUUGUAAGAGAAGACACUGAGUUUCUUUAUGCAUGAACAAUCUAAAAGGAAGAAUUUUCUUUCACUUUGAAGCUCAAUGUUCUUCAGAAGCGGUGCCUGUUUUUCCUUUUAGAAGAAUUAAGCUCAUGCUUAUUAUUUCUGAUUGUCGUCAAUUAAUCCUAACACCUCUAGAUUCCUCAUUCAAAGGACUACUACAUAUUUUUUGGUCAAAGUUAUGAAGUAUUGACGUUUGAAUGCUAAUCAGCAUAAUUUUGUUUGCAGCCAUGAAAAUGUUGAAUCCUGUAGCUCUAUUUCGCUCAGGGUCAUCAAGAUCAUCCUCGUCAAGAUUUUUGAUUGAUCCUUCAACUUUAAGAGAUGAGGGUUAUCAGAGCAGUAGUGAUGUGUCUGAUGAAUCCAACAUGUUCUCAAGCAGUCAUCAAUCAACCUUGGACAGAUUAUAUGCUUGGGAGAAAAAACUAUAUGAUGAAGUCAGGGUAUGCUUUUGCUGCUAAAAAAAAUUAAAGAUAUAAAUCACUUUCAACUAGUUUCUGUUUAAAAAUAGGAUGAGUCUCUUAACCUGUUAGAAAGAGAAGAAUUCAAAUAUGACUCCUGAGCAAGAAGAAUAAUUAUCGUUGUUCAUUCUAGAAAUAACAGGAACCACAAGAAAUGCAUGUAUGAAUGAAGUGAAUGGGUGCAUGAAUUACCUUUACUUCAACCUGUUGGAAAGAAAGUGAAUUCAAAUAUACCCUUUUGCAAGGAGAAUAAUUAUCAGUGUUCAUUCCAGAAAUAACAGGAAAAUGCAAGACAUGCAUGUAUGAUCACUUAAACGAAAUUUUGGUUUAAAAUUUCUUUUAACAUGUUAGUUUAUCUGACCUCCCAAACAUGUUUUUCUUAAGUAACAUUGUCCUGUUAACCUAAGAUGUUAAUUGUGGGGAUCAGUCAUUUACUGUUGUAAUGUCCAACAGGCAGGUGAGCGUGUCCGGCUAGCGUAUGAGAAAAAGCUGGCACAACUCAGAAAUCAAGAUGUCAAUGGAGCAGAUCCGUCGUCUUUGGAUAAAACAAGAACAGCCAUUAGGAAUCUGGAUACUCAGAUAAAGGUCUCAAUCCACUCUGUUGAAUCUAUUUCAAGAAGGAUUGAAACUUUAAGGGAUGAAGAAUUGCAGCCUCAGCUCUUAGAAUUAGUGCAAGGGUAUGUAUCUGAUAUCCCUGUUACUAAGGUUCUUCAGCUAUAUCUAUACUUGUCAACUCAUUCCAAUGCUACGAUUAUUUUGUUGUUAAAGCUGGCACCAUAUGUACAUGCAUAUGCACGUAUGUAUAUUAUAUAUAUGUUACAAAAAGAUUUUUAUUUGGAAAAACUUGAAAAGGUUCUUUAAUGCAAGAAUUAGGUAAUAGACUUAUCAAAGAAAAAAAUAAAGAAACUUAUGGAGCUUCUAAAGACAGUUUACAUUGUUCAACAAAUUGUUACCAUCAACAACAACAACAACCCAGUAUAAUCACACAAGUGGGGUCUGGGGAGGGUAGAGUAUAUGCAGACCUUACCCCUACCCCCAGAGGGGUAGAGAGGCUGUUUCCGAAAGACCCUUGGCUCAAGAAGAAGAAAAAUAAAUAAUAGACAAUAGGUCAUUGACAACAAUAGAAGAUGAAAAAUAUUAACAGCAUCGUAAGAAGUAGAAAAAUAGAUGUAAAAGCAAUAACUAUAAACAACAAUACUACCAUAGAAAAUAGUGAGGAAACUACAUAAACCACUAACNNNNNNNNNNNNNNNNNNNNNNNNNACCGGAAUAACCCUAAUCUACAACCCUAAUGCUCGACCUCCACCCCUUCCUAUCCAGAGCCAUGUCCUCGGAGAUCUGAAGUCGCGCCAUGUCUUGCCUGAUUACCUCACCCCAAUACUUCUUAGGUCGUCCUCUACCUCUCCUCGUACCUGCCAAUGCUAACGUCUCACACCUCCUAACCGGGGCAUCUAUGCUUCUCCUCCACACGUGCCCGAACCAUCUAAGCCUCGCUUCCCGCAUCUUGUCGUCCAUGGGAGUCACGCCCACCUUCUCCCGAAUAUCUACAUUCCUAAUCUUAUCCAGCCUAAUGUGCCCGCACAUCCAUCUCAACAUCCUCAUUUCUGCCACUUUCAUCUUCUGGGUAUGGGAAUUCUUGGUUGCCCAACACUCAGCCCCAUACAACAUGGCCGGUCAACAAAUUGUUACCAUCAUAGAUCAUUAUUGUCAGUUUCUCAGUAUAAGACAACGCAACAACAAAAGAGCUCCACCUAAUUGAUUUUUAGUUGCUUUUAUGUCUGCUACUGUAGUUGUUUACAAUUCUUAUUAGAUAUCUUUCACAUCAAAGUUCCCUAAAUAUCAAAUUUACCAGAUGGAUUCCAAAAGUCUUGAGUUUCUUGCAUAUUUAGAGCUUCAGAGAGUCUUUUCCCUUGGUUUCUAUUUAAAUUGAAAAGAUGUUCCCACAGUUCUCAAUUUGGUUUUUUCAGACAAUUAUGAUUUGGAGCUAAACCUUAUUAUCAAUUAGUUUCUAAAAUAUCGGAUUUGUAAUUCGAAGAUCAAAAUUGGGUUCCUUCUGCUAUCGAUCAUAAACUGGUAUUUGCUCUAGUGUACGAAAGACUUACAACAUAGCCCGUUGAUGGCAACAACAGGUUAGGAAGAAUGUGGAAGGUUAUGGCGGAGUGCCACCAAAUGCAGAAGCAUACUCUAGAUGAAGCCAAGCUCUUACUCGCUGGAACACCUUCGAAGAAGUCCGGCAUGAGGAAGUACACGGUCAUGUCACCUUCUGAGGCUCAUAGGCUAGCCCGUUCUGCUGCUAACCUUGAGAUGGAGCUGAGAAACUGGAGAGCCUGUUUCGAGUCAUGGAUCGUUUCUCAACGAUCAUACUUGCAUGCUUUAGCAGGCUGGCUUUUACGAUGUACUCGUUCAGAUUCUGACACAUCAAAAUCACCCUUGUCUCCUCCUCGUUCCACGGGAGCUCCACCAAUAUUCAGCAUUUGCAUCCAAUGGUCCAGAUUAUUGGACUCCAUCCGGGAGGCAACAGUACUUGAAGGACUAGAUUUUUUUGCAGCAGGAGUAGGCUCACUCUAUGCACAACAACUAAAGGAAGAUUCCCGCCGGACUCCUGGUGGGUCAAAGAGUUUUGGCACGGAAUCUUUUGGGAGUAUGGAGGUUGUGGAAGCUGGGCAACAUGACGAGGAAACAAUGACAGCAGAAAAGAUGGCAGAGGUUGCCAUUCGAGUGCUAUGUGCCGGAAUGUCAGUUGCUGUGAGCUCACUGACAGAGUUUGCCGUAGCUUCAGCUGAUGGAUAUGCUGAUUUGCUAAAGAACUAUGAGAAUACCAAGCAGCCACAACAGCAUUUGAACCAAAAUGCGGCGUAAUUUUAUGUUAAAACAUUAGGUUAGGUAGGAAGGAAUGCCAUGUAAAUUACAUAUUUGAGCAAUUUAAGUCAUAUAGAGGUGCCUUAAUAUAUAUUUGUAUUCAAUCUGAGCUUCUGAUUAUGCAGAUCACAGAAGGAAUAGAAAGUGAAAGUAGCUUUCUUUUAUCUAUUAUAAAUAGCUGUAGAUUUAAAUCUAUACCAACUUUUCAAGUUUCGUUCCAAUCCCAUUCAUAUCUAAGUAAACCUUCAAUCUUGCACUAAAAAUGCUCCUUUUUUUGAACUCAAACAAAAAGUUAUAUAAAACCGAAUGAGCAACCAACAAUCUUACAAUUAAAUUAGGACCAUACUCCCGAUAGAAAGAACUACCAUAAUUUCAAGACUCUUUUGCUAAGCAAUAAGCAACUAAAUUUGCUUGCUUCUUAACCAAACCAGAGAAAAAACACUCAAAGUGCUUUCAAUAUACGAAUUCACACAAUAUGUUGAAAAGAAUAACUUAUUAUAAACUCGCUUAAAUUAACAACUUUUUUGUCCAGACUAGUAGUAAUAUCUAUUAAAUUCCACACACACAUAUAAAGAAAAUUUGGAUCAAGGAUUUUCAUCAAUCUAUCAGAUUAAUGAAUUUCAAUUUAUUUUAGUCUUUCACUUCGAUAGUUAGAGUUGCCAAAGAAGAGUGACAACUAGCCAAGCAAGUAUUCGGCUUAUUCCAUUCUAUUUGACACAAAUUACUUGUUUAAGCCUUAUCUUUUGUUAAAAGUAUUUGAUAUCUCCUAAAGCAAGCCUCCUUUCUCAUUAUUUGUUAAUUUGAGUGCUUCCUAGAAUUUGCCUAUUGGCCUUGGUUCUUUAGUUAUGUACGUAGUAAUGUAAAGAUUGAUAAAUAAAGAACACAAGAUUUAACGUAAAACGUAAUCCGACUCAAAAGGUACAAAAAUCACGACCUACUCAUAUGAUCAGCUUGUUUGGAUGGUUAUUACCCAUUGUAUUGUAUUGUAUUGUUAUCUCAAAAAAAUAUUUGUUUUGAUCGUUUCAUUAAAAUUGGUUGUAUUGUAUUGUUAAAUCCAUUAUUUCGGAACAAUGAAAAGUCUCUUUUUUUUAAACAAACCAAUUUAGUGUGGUGAGAUUGUUUCCUAUUUUGCUUUUCAAUUAUAUCCUAACUUAUUACUCUAUAAUUCUAUUUUACCAUUUACCUUUUUUUUAUUUUAACUCAAAUCUCAAACCUAUAAACAUACUUUGUCUUAGUCCCCUUUUUUUCCGGAACUUCUGCCGCUUCCAACUCCAACAUAAAAGAUAUAAGUUUUGCCUUCUUUUUGUUUCAAUUUUUCUUCUAAUGUGAUUUUAACUCCAAUUCUAAUUACUUUAAAUUCAUUGUUCUGCCAAUUCUCGUUUCUUUCUUAUCAUAGUUCUUUAUUUUUUUUCUAAUGAUAGUUAAAGACAUAUUUGGUGAUAAAUUAGUAGAAAGGGAUUUUCUUAAAUUAUUUUAUGUGUAAUUCAUGAUAAUUUUAAUAUUUAAAUCAUUGAGGGUAUUUUAGUAAACUUAUCAGUUACAGUUAGGGAUGUUCAUACGCUACCAUCCUAGGGGGAGGAUCUAUUAUCUCUCUACCCAGCUCCUCGUCUAGCAGCCAAGAACAAGAGAGCUACAACACUCAGGUUGUUGAAUGAUUUAGGAUCAGAUGAGAAAACCAACCCUAGGAGAGAGGCUCAAUAAGAUAAGUUAAUCGGAGUUCCCGGAAGGAGGUCCCACCAUUUACUUGACUCUUAGAACCUUUGUUGGUUUUGGGCAACGGGGAUCAACUUCCAGGACAGGACCAAAUCGAAAACCCGAAAAAUCGAACCAAAUCGAAAACCCGAAAAAUCGAACCAAAUCGAAAACCGAACCAAACUGACCAAAAAUCAAUACUUUAGGUUUGGUUUGGUUUUGGUUUGAAUUUAAAACCGAUCAAANNNNNNNNNNNNNNNNNNNNNNNNNCAUUCUAGUUUGAUUGGUAGUUUUCUUUUGCUAAGUACAAGAAUUUAUUUCAUGUUAAAAAUAAUCGAUUUUUAAUUGAGUACUUAAAUUAUUCAUCGCUAGUUGAUUCAAUUAUCAUCAAUAUAUUUUGGUAAAUGAUAGAUUUCUCAAAGAGCAAUUGGUUUGAUAGUGUUACGUUGAAAAUGUAGUCUCCGAAAUAUGUGUUUGGUAGUGUAUGUCUCAUAUUUAAGAAAAAAACCUGAUAAAUAACCGAAAAAAUCGAAAAACCGACAAAAACCGAAUCGAUAAAAAACCGACUUAAUUGGUUUGGUUUGGUUUCAAUAUUUGAAGAACCGACUUAGUUGGUUUGGUUUCUUUUUAGAGAAAAACCGAACCAAACCGAACCAUGAACACCCCUAGUUACAGUACAGUACGAUACAGUCAAACCAAACAGCAAAUAAUAUAAUCCAUCCAAAUAUUGUAUUUAUAAAACGGUACAGUACAAUACAAUAGAAUGCAUUAUAAAACGAUGGGUAACCAUCCGUUAACUCAUACUCCACUAAAACAAAUGAGUCGAAAAGGAAGUUUAGAUUAUAACUAUUGCAAUCUAAGACCCAAAACCAACCCAAAAUAGUACCACGACUAUAACUAUUCCAAAGUAUUAAGUAAUCAAAGAGUACAGCUCGAUAACUUAAUACAAUGAACUACGACUCAACUAACUUGUAACCAGAUAAUCUAAUGAGACAAAUCAAUCAAUGAUCUAUACCUGUUUUCCUUAAGCAAAGACGUGUUAAUUGGCCAUUAGUUCGUAUUCAAUAUAUAAUUAAGGAGAUAAUCUAAUGAGACAAAACUCUGCAUUAUUGGUCCGAUGUUUGGUUUCUCUACGUUAUUUUAUGUCGAAUUCAAUACUCUGUACAUCCAGAUUCUAAUAUAAAGAGAACCACAGAUCUGAUGAUAAAUACAAUAAUCCAGUGAUUAUUAAUGAUUGUAUUACAAAAGCUACAUUCUAAUCCCUGCAUAAUUUUUCCAUGAAUCAAAAAAGAUAGUCUGGUGCACAAAAUAUCCCGCGUUCACCUAGGGUCCGGAGAGGGCCGCACCCAAAGGUAGUGUGACGUAGGCAACCUACCUUGAUGCAAGAAAGGCAGUCUGAUGCAUAAAGCAUUUCGCGUUCACGCCCAGGGAAGGGUCGCAUCCCAAGGAAGUGUGAUGUAGGCAUUCUACCCUGAUGCAAGCAUCAACGGGUGAUUCCAAUGCUUGAACCCGUGACCUUAGGCGCGGAGCCAGCCCUUCGGAUACGGGUUCGGCUGAAUACAGUAAGUUUUGUCCAAACCUUGUAUUUGCCUUAAAAAAUUAUUGAAUUAUGCACAAAUUAUUAAUUUGAACUCAGUAACUUAAAAAGAAUUAGAAUAUUGAACCCAUAAGUUUUAAAUUCUUGGUCCGUCUCUGCGUGACAGAUACAAGUUGACCGUUACUCCAAUGCUCCCCUUCAAUUUUUCCAUGAAUCAAGAAACCCAAAUGUUUUGUUCAUCAUAAGCUGCUGGUUUUAGUUGCUUUAACUCUUAAAUAAGUAAUUGCAGCAAUGCCUUAUCCCUAAUAUGGCUUCAGAAUAUCAGAAUUAUCAUGACAAACUGUAAUGUCAUCUCAUAGUAGAUAACCGUUCCAAAACUCAACAGCAAUUAUCUUGUAAGCAUACAACAUGAGGUAAAAUUCUUUCCAUCAUUCAAACUGAUUGUACAACUUUUGUCUAAUGAUCAAAAUAUGACAGAUUCCAUUACAGAAGCAUCAACAACUAAUCGUAUAUAAGAUUACAUAAUCCAAAGUAUAUCAAGACUAAAGGGUAGCCUGGUUCACAAAACAUCUCGCAUUCACGUAGGGUCCGAAAAAAGGCCGUACCCCAAGGGUAUAAUAUAAGCAGCCUAACUUAACACAAGUAUCAAAGGUUAAUUCCACGACUAGAACCCGUAACUUAUAGAUCGAUCACAUGGAGAUAACUUUAUAUCAAGCCUGACUGAGUUUGUUAGAACACUCGGGACAUUGAAAAUGUCCUCUAGCUCGACAUUUAGUACAAAAAGAGGAUCCUAUUUUUGAUUUAUUCUCCAACUGAAUGAAAUUGAAUGGUCCUCCUUUAAUGACACCAGAUCCCUUGCAGCUUGAACAUGCUAUCAGUCUCAAAUCUCCACAUCUUUUACACAUCCCUAGUGAGCUGCUCAUAGAAAAAAAAAAUGCAGCAUAUAAUUUAAUUACACCCUUUUUUAUAGUAAAAGAUUUAAGACGCACUAUGGACUAUAAACAAAAGCAGCUGGAUUCUUGAUAAUAUAAAAGAGCUAUGAACUAUAAUUCCUUAAUAAGGAUAAUAAUUGUAUUCCUAUCGUUUCUCUAAUGGAUAAAGACCAUACCAAAAAGAAAAGGCAAAUGAUAGAAAACUCAAAAAGGAAAAACAAGUGUAAUAUGAUAGAAACAUAUUGCAUAUAUACCUACGCUGAGAGGCAGAGAUGAAUGAAUCAAUUUUGGGAGCAUAAACAGUGGCGCCAAGUAGAAAAGCACCCACUCCAAAUCCUGCUAUUUCACUUGCUGUUAUGUGUUCAAACAUUUCUCCUUCUUUUCUGCUAAACAAAUGCAAAAAUAGAAAGAGAUGAUAUUUAGAAAGGGAAAUAAGGCUCUCUUAUCCCUUCGGGUAGAAUGGAUAAGAUAUUUUUCGAUAAUAGAGCAAUACAAGCACAUGUGCACCCGAACACUUGGGUGCAUAUAAAUAAGGAGAAAUGUCAACUCGGCAUAUCUUAUGCACCGGGCUAUUUUUAAAAUAAAAUAAAAUAAAAUAACACCGAGUAACCAUUCUAUAAGACUGUUAUUUAGAAAUUAUUCAAUAUGUCCUGAAUUUUAAUUUUUCACUUAAAUUUUUUAUGGUACAAAAUUCUGAAAUUAAAAUUUUUAUUUAAAUUUUUAUGACAAAAUAAAUAUUGGUUAAUCCUCAAAUAGUAGCCUAAGAAAGGGUAUUUGUAUACUUCCCCCUUUUUAGAGCAAUAGAAGCACACAACCUAAAGUAUUAAUCUUGCAGAUUUAAUUUUUAGCCAUCAACUUUACAAUAUUUUACAACAUAUACUUAAGUUAAAUCUCUACGGUAGGACAUGAUCAAUAGUUUCAUUUUUCUUACAUACACUGGUAAGGGAUAGCCCAUGUUGUGCAUGGGCCCAAUAACACUAUUACCUAAAAAUAGAAGUCAUAAAAAUGUGUAUGAUAGAGUUAGAUCUAGUUCAUCUCCCAAAUAUACUAAAGUUAUUUUUAAAUCACCUAAAGUCGUUAAAAAUCAUAAUUUUAUUGGUCCCACCUAUUUUGAAAAUUAAAGUUUGAAAGGAAUUUGUUUCAUGAUCAUGUUGUGCAAAUUAGCAGGAGUUAUAAAAUUUUCAUUUAACUUAAAAGCAUUUACAAUCUUCUUUUGUUGCAAUGUCAAGUUAUCUAACACAACGACAAUUAGGUUCACAUUUAAUAUUACCUCAUAUUACCUCAUGUAUAAAAUAGAUGUCGUUUUGAAUUUUUGGUAAGAAAAUCAUAUAAAACAUGUAUUAUAAGAUUUAUUUGAUUAAGUUAUGCUUUAAAUUAUAGUCAAAUUACUCAUUAUACUCCGUAGGUCAUUUAUUAGAUCAACAUAGAUUUGGGGAAACAUGACUAAUGCUGUUUUAAUUUUCCAAAGCAAAAUUUAUCUACGAUUUUAGCUUUAUUAUGAAAUUUCAUACUACUGCACUGCUACUUUAUAGGGAAAAUAAUCCUUUGAUGGGAAGAAGUUUAUGUUUAAAAAGAGAGCUUUUGAGAGCACAUGAGUCCAACUAAUUAUUUGUACAAAUAUUAACUAUUCAAUUUAAGUUAAUACAUAUCAAAUUAAAGUAUAUUCUUUGUGUGAAAUUUAUGAGGUUAACAGCAUAAAAGUACUAUCACUUAUUGGCCCAUGGAAAAAAAUCAAAAUAUUUUACUGCUACCAUAUUUUCUUAAACUUUGAAUUUUGAACUUACCACCUUGAUUUUUUUUUUGUUACUUUUUUGUUACUCCAAUUAAUAAAUAUUCAUAAGAGAGAAGAUAAAUCCAUAGCAGAAGUCUAGUCCUUUAAUCUAAAAGGUAAGAUGUACGCGCGUAAAACAAUCGAGUAUUAAAUUUAGUUUUGUUUUAUUUCGUAUGAUUUCUUUUGAAUAUUUUUGUAAAAGAAUGAAAUCUUUGUACGAAAUAUUGAAGGUGAAAAAUAGAAAGAUACAAAUAUGCAAUAGCCAAUCGAUAAAAUAAACAUAGGGUUGGACUACUUUGUGUGUCAAUGAAAGAGGGUCUUUAGUGUGUCAAUGAAACAGCAGGGUCCCACAUGGAAAGUUGAGGUGGACCCCAUACUUCCAGCAAAUUUACUGUACAAGUAAUAAAGCUAGUAAGUACAAUAUCUUGAAUGCAUAAAAUUGUAAAAAUUCAAAAUUAUCCAUAUGCCAGGCAGACAUGUUGAUCAUGGGUUGCCUGGUUAUUCCCAUUUAGGGGUCGUUUGGGAUGAGGUAUAAGAAGGUAUAGUACUGGUAUAAAAAUUUAAUACAAUUUAAUAAUUUGUUUGGUUAGCAAAUCGGGUAUAAGUUAUCCCGGGAUUAAAAUUAGUAUCGGGAUAACUUAUAUCUUAUUCUUAAAAAUUUUGCAAUUGUCAUUUUUAAUACAACAUAACAAACAAUGGAUAAAAAAUAAUAUUAGGAUAACUAAUCUCAGUAUAACUAAUCACAACAUAACUUAUCCCGGCAUAAGCUGUAUUCAAACCAAACGACCUCUUGGAGGAUAGUGAUAGAUUAUAUAAUAAAAGUAAAAGUUGGGUUAUAUUUUUGUUCAAGUUUACAAUUUUAUCAUAUAACAUUAUUGUCGAUUUUUAUUUUAUUUUACCGUAAGUUAUUUCAAAAGGAGAAAUGGAGAAUGAGUAAAAUUAAUAAAAUCUGGUUAAAGAUACAAAGUAUAAAACUUUUUAUAAGAAAAAUUCAUGUUUUUCAAGAUAAAACGAUCAAAUGAACUGAACUUUGAUCAAUAAUGAUAAAAGAAAUUUAUUUAAUUACCUAAUUUAUACUGGGAAAAAACUAAUUUAUACGUUACCAAUUAUAUUGGAUGUUAAGACAUAAAGAGCUUUUAUGUUCUCAAAUUCAUACUUUCAUAUGUCUAUGUUUUGUUUAUUUAAUCACUUACUAUCCGACACUUAAUAACUCGAUUAAUUCGAAUUUUGUUAUAAAUAGUAUUUUAUUUAUGGUGAAUGUCUAUAUUUUAGAGAGAUUUUAGAGUUUUUUACUUGGUGGCUAAGUCACAUUUUUUCUAUAAAUAGAGAGUUUUAUUCUAUUGUAAUUGAUCCCUUCAAUAAGAAUUCCCUCUUUCUCUUUCUAUGCAAUAUUUUUCUUCUUCUUUUAUCGUUUUAUAACACAUUAUCAGCACGAGACUCUAACCAAUUAAGUAGAAGCUUUGGGAUUGAGCAUAAUGAUUGCCAAUUGUUCCAUGAACUUCCUUCAUGAUUAAAUUCUGAAUUUAAAGUAAGUAUUUUACUUUAUUUUUCUCUUUUGAAUUCUUGAAAUUCUAUAAUUUGAUUUUUNNNNNNNNNNNNNNNNNNNNNNNNNNNNNNNNNNNNNNNNNNNNNNNNNNNNNNNNNNNNNNNNNNNNNNNNNNNNNNNNNNNNNNNNAAAUUCCUAUGUCUUGCCAUGAUCAAAUUCAUGCAUGAUUGUGAGCACAAGAAGUGAAAACAUGUCCCAUUGAAUUUGCUUCAUUCUCAUUCUUUUAAAAAGAAUGUGAUAGAUACGUCUAAAAGAAGACAAAAUUAUUACCAUGAAUGUAUCAAUGGAUGUGAACGUGGCAAUAGACGAAAUUAUAAUCAUCAUCAUUGUGGUAAUGAGAAUAAUAAGUAUUCUCAAAAUAAUCCUUCACUAUGUGAAAGUAACAUUUAUCAUCGAUUUGACAUGAGAUUUUAUAAAGCACAUAUAUAUGAUUAUGGUCCAUUCAUGAUGUGAAUGUGACAACAUGUGAUUUAUGAAUACAUAUUCAUUUUUGGAAGAAUAUGAGUGUGCUAGUGGUAUAUACCACACUCACCUCUAGAAGGAGGUUUGAUAUGAUAUAAGAAAAUAAUGUCAUUAUUAUGGUAUGAAUGGUCAUUGGUCACAUACCUAUUCUACGCCAAAAUAUUUUGGUAAUGUGUUUAUUAAAGGAUAAUAGUAACGCAAGAAACAAAUCUUGCAUAUAAUUUUGACCAUGACCAUAAUGGUAUAACUUUCUCUUUAAAAGAGAUAUUCAACAUAUGGAUGUUGAUGAAUAUGUGGUAGUACCAAAUUAAUUGAGAGCUCUGAAAGAGCCAAUUAUUACUAUUUUGGAGGAAUAAAAUUAAUUAUCAAUAAGGCAUUAUGUUGUAGUAAGUCUCAAAGAAACUUAUUGAGUUUCUAGAGUAUUCGCAAAAGCGAUUGGUUAUAUUGAGACUAUAAAUAAAGGAAAAUUUUAAUAUCUGAUAUUACUACAACUUGUAGCGGGUGAUAUGUAUGUGAAAAGCUACUUAUUUUAUUCUUCAGUUUGUACUACACAAACAAAAGAAUGCCACAAUAAAGUAGAUGUUUAUUGAUAUAAAAACUCAUAUCAUAAUAAACUUGGAGUUUAUUCAUAAUUGCACAUGUCAUGAUGUAAACCUGAAGUUUACUAAUACAGAUAAUUUUAUCAAGCAUGGCCUAUUGAGCAAUCUUGAUUUAGAUGCGCAAAAUAAAUGAGAAUUAACAUGGGUAAGUGUUGAAGAUGAUUCCUUAUGAAUUCUCUUAUGUUGCUUGUUCUCGCGAUUACUAUACCAACUAAAAUUUGGAUUGAAUCCCUUGAAUUAUGAAAUUUAUCAAAGGUGAAUAUGGACUCAUUCACCUGCCAUGUAAACCUUAUAAAGAUGCAUCUAUGAGAUGGUUACAUGUGCGAUUAUUAUUAACCCGCAACUUAGUAUUUGUGAGGUAACUUGCUCAAUAAUUUAAUUUAGAGCAUAAUUUCCAGAUUUUCUAUUCAAGACAGUUCAUCUUGAUAAGUUGGUUUACAUCAUAGUUGGUUUAGCAAAAUAAUUUAUUGAGUGCCUCCACUUAAUAGUUAAACUAUUGCUUAUGAGAACAAAGUUAUCUACAUUAGUUUGACAUACGUUAUACACGAAAGUAUAUUACAUUCUCCCCUCACAAGUGGUUCAGGGUCAGGAACCAAAUAAUUUUAUCUUAUUAUUAUUGAUGUGCGGUGUAUAUUUUGAUUAACACCAUAAUGCACAAAGAUGAGUUCCCAAAGUUGAGGAAGCAAGUUAGUUUUUCUAACAUGAGGGGGAGACAGGAUAAAGAGUUGAGAAAAAGUUACGUGGAAUAAAUUAUCAUUUCUACAUCUAGAUCCUCGAAUAAGAUAAUAUGAACUUGAAGUUCACAAAAAGAUAAUUCAUCUGUAAUAUAUUGCAAAGCAUGCAAGAUGCAUUUGCUGACCUAAAGAAAAUAACUAUAUUCUCACUGAAAAUGCUCAUAUUAAGUCCUAGAAGGACAAAGUCUAUGGUACGCUUAAAGCAUAUAGACAAAUCGGUUUCAAAUAAACUUUUUGAUAAAGAAGAUGAGCAAAUGAUCAAAAUGAUCAUAAAGGAGGCAAGUGAUCUAGAAGAUCACAUGACAUAAAACUUCAUAAAUCUCAUGAGAGAUUCAGGUACCUGAAUAUAUGAAUGAAGAGAUCUCUAUAUUAUGUCUUUAUAAAAAAUAAGGAGGUUGGAACCGAUAUAAAAUAUUUGUCGACGACAUCUAUAAUAGCGCUAAAUAUAUAUGAGGAUCUUAAGUCUGGAGAAAUAAUUUAAGUAGAAUUGGUUUCAUAUAAAAGACAUGUAGUUUUGGACCUGCAGUUCAAACACUUGAAAGUAUAAGGUCAAUGGUGUGUGCAAUCACCUUUAUCUAUCUUAUGUCUAGUAUGACAGGAAAACUUGAUAUAAAUCUAAAGUCUAUAUGCCUAUACUUAUAUGAUAAUCCCUGAAGGAUUUCAAUUGCUUGAAGUAUAUACAAUUCUUGAUCUUGAAGUAACACAUCCUUAGUACAAUUUAUGCACAAAUGUAUCUUGCUAUAACUAUAAGUAUAAUAAUGUGAUAGCGAGAAUUUUUUACCUCUAUGGAGAUAUUGAAAAGGCCAUUCCACGGCAGUUUAUGAAGACAUUAUAUAUCUAUCAAGAAUGAUGUUCAGUCAAGUUAAUAUGACUGAUUUGUGUAUCAAAUCUCUACCAACGAUAUUUUGAAGAUGGUGCACAAGAUUGGAAUGCGAAGACUCAAGGAUGUGAAUUGAUGCUCUCAUCAGUGAGAGUUAAUACGCGUUGUACUCUUUUUCCCUUACAAGAUUUUGUCCCACUGGGUUUUUCUUGCAAGAUUUUUAACGAGGCAACCAAAAGGCGUAUUUCUAAACAUGUGUACUCUUUUUCCUUUUCUAGAAUUUUUUUCCCACUGAGUUUUAUUUUAGUUAAGGUUUUAACGAGGCACAUUAUCUGUUGAAAAAUAUUCAAGGGGGAGUGUUAUAAAUAGUAUUUUAUUUAUGGUGAAUGUCUAUAUUUUAGAGAGAUUUUAUAAUUUUUUACUUGGUGGCUAAGUCACUUUUUUUCUAUAAAUAGAGAGUUUUAUUCCAUUGUAAUUGAUCCCAAAAUUCAAUAAGAAUUCCAUCUCUCUCUUUCUCUGCAAUAUUGUUCUUCUUCUUUUAUUGUUUUAUAACAAAUUUCAUAUUCUUAAACAUUUUCUAUAAGAAUUGUUUUUCAUUUUUAGAGGUUAAACCUAAGACCUCUUAUUCAUCAAAUGCGCAACCAAUGCAAGACAUAUAUAUACACAUAUUUUUAUUACUUAAUCAUAAUUAGUUGAUAUUAUUAUCACCUUAAUAUUAAUCAUUAAUGUAAAAAAUAUAAAUUUGGUGUAAGUACCUGGCGCAUGCCCACAUAUUUAGAUUAAAUACUUUAACAUCAAUAAGUCGCAUCUUACAAAUGCGACUUAUAAAUCACAUUCCAGUAUUGCGACCUAUAAAUCACAUUUAUGUAAUGCGACUUAUAAGUCGCAGGUAGCCCUUCAGCUUCAAAGAUUAUUAUUAAGUGUUCUAUUAUGCUCUGUUCGGUUUCUAACUUUAGACAAUUUCCUUACUGUUCAGUUCUAGCUAAUUUUCGUUGAUUACUGUGCUCUGUUUUGUCCAAAUGUAUAAUUUUCCGACAAAUUUAAGCUAUAUGCACUGUAAUUUAAUUUGUUAUUACUUACUAAUCAACUUUAUUAAACAGAAUUACCUAUAAAUAACAUUUAUAAUGAGCUAUAAGACCAAAUUUUCCGAAAUCUCUUCCGUAUCCAGGCUGAUAUUUGACCUUGGCAUGAAUAUGGAUACUUAAGGUUUAUGAAACAAGCUUAUUCUGCCACUGGUACUGUCCAUGAUAGCUUAAAAUGACAUUGAUCCAUUUUAUCUUUAAUAUUAUUCGUUUAUCACAAGGAGACUAGGCGUAACCGGUAAAGUUGUUGUCAUAUGAUAAGGAAGUUACGGGUUCGAACAGUGGAAACAGUCUCUUACAAAAAUGCAGCGUAAGACUACAUACAAUAGACCCUGUGGUCCGUCACGGGCAGAUGCGGACCUACACUUUACCGAGAGGGGUCACCGACAUCCGUAAAGUUUGGCAAAAAUUUCAUGUAUACAUGUAUAUAUAUGUCUUUAGAAAAUAGUGAUAUAUUAGUAGUAGGAAUCCUAUAAACAAAGUAGAUUUUGGUUGAAUCCAAAAGUGUACCCGCAACCUUCAAAAAUUGAAUCUGCCUCUGGACUCACGGGUUUGAGUCGUGAAAAUAACUUCUUGCAGAAAUACGGUGUAAGGUUACGUACAAUAAACCCUUGUGGUCUGACCCUUCCCCAGAUCGCUUAGUGCACCGAGCUGCCCUUUUAUUAUUCGUUUAUCAAUAUGGAAAUAGGAUUAUUGUUGCUACCAGGGAAAAGAAAAGAAAAGCAUGAUUGUACAUUAGUUAUUUUAGCAAACUAUAUAAUUGUUUUUCGUUUAAAUUGAAUCAUUAUGUGGACAGUUCAGUAACCACAAAGUUAUUUUUACAAACAGAAAACUUCAUUAGCCCAUAUUUUUACAGAUCACACACACAACAUUUCACUUUCCGGGUACAAAGUUAGUGGCAAAAGCCCAAGCAUUAUUGGCCACUGGGUCAUUAAUAUGGUCAAAGAGGUUCUCAAUUGGGCCUUUUCCAGUAACAAUAGCCUGAACAAAGAAUCCGAACAUUGAAAACAUAGCCAAUCGUCCGUUCUUGAUUUCCUUAACCUUUAGCUCAGCAAAAGCCUCGGGAUCAUCAGCAAGGCCAAGUGGGUCAAAGGCACCUCCUGGGUAAAUCUUGUCAAGACCUUCACCAAGUGGGCCCCCACCAACCCUAUAUCCUUCAAUCAAGCCCAUUAGGACAACUUGGCAUGCCCAAAUAGCGAGGAUGCUUUGGGCAUGGACAAGGUUUGGGUUGCCGAGGUAGUCAAGUCCACCUUCCGAGAAGAUUUGGGCUCCUGCCUUGAACCAAACAGCUUCACCGAAUUUAACACCAUUUUUUGAAAGGAUUUCGGGAAAGACACAACCCAAAGCACCAAGCAUGGCCCAACGGCAAUGGAUCACCUCAAGUUCACGGUUUCUAGCGAAUGUCUCUGG
rnacentral:lncRNA from 1 species